rnacentral:tRNA from 1 species
GGGUGUAUAGCUCAGUUGGACAGAGCAUUGGACUUUUAAUCCAAUGGUCAUGGGUUCAAUUCCCAUUACACCUA